ACCCUGUCUUAUAUAGCUCAGCUGGUAGAGCAUGAGGCUCUUAAUCUCAAGAUCAUGGGUUCAAGCCCCAUAUGGGGUG